CUUUGUGAUGUUGGGAUUGGAAGAGAUGAGCUCACACUUUUCAGUUUUGAGCUAAGAAUUAGACAUAGGUUUCCAAAGGGAAUGUACUCACCCAAAUUCUCUUCCCUUAUUUGCUUUUCCAGUGCAAUUAUUUCUAAAUGAAUAUAAAAGCAUUUGCUAUCACAUUGCUAUGUAUUCCUUGCCUUCUUUCAAGCUCAAACUUGUCUGCAAAUCAUUGAAGAAAUACAUGGAAAGCCAUAUAUGCUGAAGAGAUUCCAUCUCUGAUAAACAUGGUAUGUAAGGUCACUUGUCUGGACAAGACUGUAGGUUUCAUGGAAAAGAGAGAGAACAAUCUGGGCCAAUGAAGUGAGGCCUCCUAAGGCAAGGGAAUGUGAAGUCAGAAAAGCAAGAGGUGCUGAGCUGCUUCCACCGCCCUACUCCAGGCCAGGCUGCCCAGCCACACGAUUUCUCCUGCACUCAGGGUUCUCCAAGACAGAGUUUGACUUCCCUCUCCAGUGUUUUUCUUCAAGAUUUUCCAUCCAUGAGCAGAGAAAUCAGUCAAGCAUGUGCAUACCUGCUGAAGUCCCACUGAAAUCAAGGGGAGUUACCAUACAAGUGGUUUCAUGGAUUGGUAUCUAUAUAUAGCAUCUAAUGUUGUUAUUAUUUGUAGUAUAAAUCAGUUGUUCUCAACCAGGGGUAUGUAUUAGGGAUAUGCAUGGUUAAUCAGUUAACCUUAAUGGUUGAGGCUUUCCGGUUCUGGUUAAACAGUAGGGGCUGGAACAGACUCUUAACCAUGGCAGGGAGAGCAUCUUUCCCUUCUUUAAUCUGUUAACCGGAGUAGUAUAAUGUUAAUCAAUUAAACGGGAUUUUACAUCCCCAGUGUGUAUAUCCUUGGGGGUACUCAGAGCUCUUUCAGGGGUACAUCAACUCAUCUAGACAUUUGCCUAGGUUAACAACAGGCUGCAUAAAAAGCACUAGCAAAGUCAGUACAAACUAAAAUGUCAUAGAAAAUGAUUUGUUUAUAUUGCACGAUGCAUUAUACUCUGAAAUGCAAGGACAAUAUUUAUAUAAUGUAAGCGCAAUUAUAAUUAUAUCAUAAAAUUGCAAAAGUAUGACAUUUUCAGCAAAAUGUCUCUUGGCCCGCCAGCAAAUUACCUUGAUAGGCUGUGUGGUGAAGGUUGCCAAGCUCUGGUUUAGACUUUAGUUGCUCUCUACGCCUAACUAGUCGAUGUGCAGGGCUAUUAUUGUUAUUUGGUUUCUAAGCAGCCAGUAGAUGGCAGUCUCAGCAUUAUAAUUAUAAUUCAAUAGGAACUUUUAAAAAAGUACUACCAAAAAACUGCUUUAGAAUUUUGUUUUGUCAGCUCCAGGACUAUUACAGCUACGGUUCAUUUAACAGCAUCCUGGAUGCACUGGAAGCUCACUUUCAAUUGCAAUUUUGUUUUUAAAUCUUUAUUUUUACACUAUAGAUCAUUAAAAUCAAAUCUACUAUUAUUAUUUUUCCAUUGUAGAACAUUUACUAUAAUGAAUUUCAGGAAAAAAUAAUAAUUGAAAGCUCUCUAUUAUAUAAGGUGAUCUAUCACGCUGUCACCACUUGCAUUUGUGUCCUCAUUUUAGACCCUAGUAAGGGCCACGUCUUCAGCUGGUGUUUCUCUUAUAUCUCAGAAGAACUGGGCCAAUGGUGUAAAUUGGUGGAGAAAUGGCAUAGUAAAUCCUGCUUGCCUUACACCAGUAACACCUUUCAAUGAUUCAACUGAUGUGAGCAAAAUUUGGCUCAGUUACUACUUUUGGGGUUUGAUUUCCCAUGUUCAAUAGUAAAACUCCUGACAUCAAUGGGAGAACCUUGGUACUUUUGAAAUACCCACCACAGAUGCACAAGAUGCAAAUUCCUCUGAAAUGUUUUUCACUUUGAGGACCAUCACUCAUUUGAGUCCCAAAGUUCUUUAUGUUGUCCCAUUAUUUUUGACACUGAUAACAAUUUACAUCAGAAAUAAAGAAUCAUGGAACAGAAGUUAUAGACAGAGCUGUUUAAACCCACAUCAUGAUUAUUCUUUGUGUUCCUUAUUUUGUGACUCUCUCAGACAUUUGUGCUUUGGCAGGGUGGAAAAUACAAGACAUAAUCAUGUUUAUAAGGGUCAAAUGUGCCCCUACUGCAGCUCCAUUGUUUUCAAGCAUCUGGCACCACAGAUUAAUUAGGCUCAUUGCCGUAAAAAUAGAAGAAUUUUGUUUUUUACAUUUGAUCUCCAGAAAUUAUAAUGGUUAUUUCAGCUCUUGUACUUUUGUCAUUGUUGUCAUGAAUUAACAAAAAUCACACAUAAAGGUGACUUGUGACUGGAAAUGUCUCUAUUUGAUAAAGAAAAGUGUUUCCCUCAAGAAAGAAAACCUUGUACUCUUUGGUCUUAAUCAUCCUAUAGUUUUGUCUGUGAGACUCAGGGCUCUGAUUGUAUGCAUUUGAAAAAUGGCCAUGUUCACAGGCUCCCGUUGUUAUGUGGGAUAGGUUUAGGCCUGCAAAGAUUUAGAUAUUUAAACUAAAUAUGAUCAUAGGGUUACACUAACAUUUUUUGUCCACUACACAUGAUACGUAUCAUCUACCUCCUCCCUUUCUACUGUUGUACAUCUCUUUCCAGACAGAAUUCACUCCAUAUUUAAGGAUAAAGCAGUUUUAAUUAAAUCUCAGAAAGCAUCACUGGUACAAAGAGUAUAUUUCAGUAUCUACAUGUUGAACCUCUGUGAUCUGGAAUUUUCUGGUCUGGCAACAUGCAUGUUGCUGGACUAAAGAGCCCCAGCAGCAGAGGCUGUCGGAGGCUGGGAGCGGAGCCAGUUGGCAGGCCCAGCAGCUCAGUGGAGCCCAUGAGGACCAGAGCCCACAGUGGUGGAGCACAAAAGCCAGUGGUCCUGGGAGUUCUGGCAGCAGUGCCAGAGCUCGUGGUCCCACCGACUUCCCUGCUUCCUCAGACUGCCAGAGCUCUUGGGGUGUUAGUGCUGGCAGGGCUGUUGGAGCUGCCGGAGCUCAUGGAGCCCACAGAGCUGCCACAGCCAGAGGCCCAGGGCACCAGUGCCAGAUGGCUGGGGAGAGGAGCACAUGGUGAGGGAGGUGCAACCUGUACCUUCUUUCCUGUGAGUAGAGUUGAAAAAAGAAUCAUAAAGAACCAGUAAUUAGAAUGAGAGGGACAUUACAUGCUAGGGUAAACUUAAAAACCAACAAAUGGUCUGGUAGCACUUUAUAGACUAACAAAACAUGUAGAUGGGAUCAUGAGCUUUCGUGGGCACAGCCCACUUCUUCAGAUGACCAUCUAGGUUCACUUUUAAGGCUUCAUAUUAGAGCAUAUGAUUUUGCCAUAACACUAACUUCCAGUUCUCUGGAUCUCCACUGUUUUCAUAUAAUAAUCUGCCAAAUAUAGGAUAGCAACAUGAAUGGAAUGUACCCUUGUUAUCUCAGGAUGCAUAUUUUCAUCAAAAAGAAACUUCAGAAGGAAAAAAAUAUAUAAUUAUAUAGAAGUGCAGCAUGUACAUGUUCUCAUGGGAGCAAGAAACCUACACCAGACCACAUUUUACAAAGGGUCUUGUUCAGAUGACUAAAUGGACCAUUGGAUGCAAGAAGAGUCUGAUUCAAUAUUUGGAUUAGCCCCAUUUGUCUUAAUAACACUGUGUUCAGUCUGUGUUUCAAAUUUAUUAAACAUGCGCUGUAAUAGCACUGUUCAGAAGACAUUCAUCUGUGUAGAUGCAACAUUUAUUUUAAUGAGAAUUCCACUUUCAGCUCUCAUUCAGCAUUGACUAUGAUACCAUUAAAAUACAGAAACCAAUGAUUGAUUGGACUUGAUCCUAAAUGUGUGAAAUCCCAGUGAAAUCAAUGAGACUUCUCAUGGACUUGAAGUAGAGCAUGUUUUUAAGUAUCUUUCUGAAUCAGCAUAUUGGUGGUGAAAU